UGCCGCACAUUGUUUCCUAGAGGAGAGA
rnacentral:piRNA from 1 species